GCGCAGUCCUUUGGGUAGAGGAUCCUAGGUGAUAGAGGCAGCCCAAGAUACGUUGUUGGGAAGGUCCCUUCCUUGAACCUUAGACAUGCCAGUAAUUGAUCCUUAUUCUUUGUGGAAUUUGAAAAGAACACCUCACUCUUCGGGUCACUUACGCUCAGACCUGUCCUAGAUUCGAAGACUUUAAACACUCCAUCGAUGGCUUUGAAGGAAUCCUCCUUGGCCUUGCAGAAAAUCAAAAGAUCGUCCGCAUAGAUCAAGUGUGAUAUUCCUAUCACG
rnacentral:lncRNA from 1 species